UACGGGGGGGGCAAGCGUUGUUCGGAAUUACUGGGCGUAAAGGGCUCGUAGGCGGCCACCUAAGUCAGACGUGAAAUCCCUCGGCUUAACCGGGGAACUGCGUCUGAUACUGGAUGGCUUGAGUUUGGGAGAGGGAUGCGGAAUUCCAGGUGUAGCGGUGAAAUGCGUAGAUAUCUGGAGGAACACCGGUGGCGAAGGCGGCAUCCUGGACCAACACUGACGCUGAGUGAGCGAAAGCCAGGGGAGCAAACGGG
rnacentral:rRNA from 1 species